CUUAUUUAUCUUGAUUUAAAGUGUCGCUUUAAGGCUAACAUAGGCUCUCCUCCUUAACUCCUAUUCAUUACGUCCUCGACGUAUCGAACGGAAACAUGCAUUGUUAAUUAUAUGCGUGGCUAAAAUGAAAGGG
rfam:Anopheles funestus strain FTMOZ unplaced genomic scaffold supercont1.424, whole genome shotgun sequence.